rnacentral:rRNA from 1 species
AGAGUUUGAUCAUGGCUCAGAACGAACGUUGGCGGCGUGCUUAACACAUGCAAGUCGAACGAGAAAGUUCCUUCGGGAAUGAGUAAAGUGGCGCACGGGUGAGUAACGCGUAAGUAAUCUACCUUUGCAUUUGGAAUAACUACGGGAAGCUGUAGCUAAUACCGAAUACGUUCAUAUAGUUACGACUAUAUGAAGAAAGAUGACCUCUUCUUGAAAGUUAUCGUGCAGAGAGGAGCUUGCGUACCAUUAGCUAGUUGGUAGGGUAAUGGCCUACCAAGGCAACGAUGGUUAGCGGGUCUGAGAGGAUGAUCCGCCACACUGGAACUGGAACACGGACCAGACUCCUACGGGAGGCAGCAGUGAGGAAUAUUGCGCAAUGGGGGAAACCCUGACGCAGCGACGCCGCGUGGAUGAUGAAGGCCUUAGGGUCGUAAAAUCCUGUCAGAUGGGAAGAAAUGUACGAGGGAACAAUACCCCUUGUGCUUGACGGUACCAUCAAAGGAAGCACCGGCUAACUCCGUGCCAGCAGCCGCGGUAAUACGGAGGGUGCAAGCGUUAUUCGGAAUCACUGGGCGUAAAGGACGCGUAGGCGGGAAGCCAAGUCUGAUGUGAAAUCCUAUGGCUCAACCAUAGAACUGCAUUGGAAACUGNCUACCUAGAGUAUGGGAGGGGGAGAUGGAAUUAGUGGUGUAGGGGUAAAAUCCGUAGAUAUCACUAGGAAUACCGAAAGCGAANGCGAUCUCCUGGAACAAUACUGACGCNAGGNGUGAAAGCGUGGGGAGCAAACGGGAUUAGAUACCCCNGUAGUCCACGCCCUAAACGAUG